rnacentral:rRNA from 1 species
UUNUGAACUGGGUGACUAGAGUGUGUCAGAGGGAGGUAGAAUUCCACGUGUAGCAGUGAAAUGCGUAGAGAUGUGGAGGAAUACCGAUGGCGAAGGCAGCNUCCUGGGAUAACACUGACGUUCAUGCUCGAAAGCGUGGGUAGCAAACAGGAUUAGAUACCCUGGUAGUCCACGCCCUAAACGAUGUCAAUUAGCUGUUGGGCAACUUGAUUGCUUAGUAGCGUAGCUAACGCGUGAAAUUGACCGCCUGGGGAGUACGGUCGCAAGAUUAAAACUCGAAGGAAUUGACGGGGACCCGCACAAGCGGUGGAUGAUGUGGAUUAAUUCGAUGCAACGCGAAGAACCUUACCUGGUCUUGACAUGUACGGAAUCCUCCAGAGAUGGAGGAGUGCCUUCGGGAGCCGUAACACAGGUGCUGCAUGGCUGUCGUCAGCUCGUGUCGUGAGAUGUUGGGUUAAGUCCCGCAACGAGCGCAACCCUUGUCAUUAGUUGCCAUCAUUUAGUUGGGCACUCUAAUGAGACUGCCGGUGACAAGCCGGAGGAAGGUGGGGAUGACGUCAAGUCCUCAUGGCCCUUAUGACCAGGGCUUCACACGUCAUACAAUGGUCGGUACAGAGGGUAGCCAAGCCGCGAGGUGGAGCCAAUCUCACAAAACCGAUCGUAGUCCGGAUUGCACUCUGCAACUCGAGUGCAUGAAGUCGGAAUCGCUAGUAAUCGCAGGUCAGCAUACUGCGGUGAAUACGUUCCCGGGUCUUGUACACACCGCCCGUCACACCAUGGGAGUGGGGGAUACCAGAAGUNGGUAGGGUA